GAUGAAGGUAUCAUGAAGCAAAGCCCAAGAUGACUCACACAAUGGGGAAACAGCAAGACAUCUAAGAAUAAGAAUCCAAUGUUCAGUAUGCCAAGCAGACAGUUGUCAUCCAGUGGGAAACCACAUGCUGAUCUCAUCUGUGUCCAGUGGAACCCUCCUCUGCCUAAGUCUACACAACACAGCUCCUUUUUUCCUGGGUUCUUUCUGCUGGCAAACCCACAAUACUGGCUGCCAUGGCAACUUCACAUCCUCUGGGCCACUCCAGUAAGCUGCUCCCAUGUCAAGUGCAGGACCAGGCACCUCACUGUCUUCGAUGCUGCCUGAAAACCAUCCUUGAUUUCCUCUCGCUAAGAUGGCCUUGCUCGUGAAAAUAAGUCAGAAGAGUUCCAAGGCUGUCUACCCACAACAGAAGCUGUGACCAGCACCUACAUCAGACAAAACACCUUUCAAUCUAUCUGUGGCCAAGACCAGUCCAUCCCUGCCUCCAGAAACAAUGUUCUAGUGGACCCCCACCCAAGUCACCUUCUUGAAACCCCCAUAAGACUCUCUUGGCUGCAGUGGUUUCAAGUUUGUACAGCUUUCAAGAAUGACUACAGUGGCACCUCAGUACAUGAACUCAAUUCUCACCAUGAUUCCGGUCACAAGUUGAACUGAAUGAGAAUUAAAUCAAAUGUCCCCAUAUAAAGUCAUCACUGAAGCUAAUCACUGAAUUUGGUUCAGUUCUCAUCCAUCUCAUUCAGUUCUCAGUUUAGGACCAGAGUCAUGACAAGAAUCAUGGCAAGAAUCAAGUUUGUGAGCUGAGGUGCUACUGUACGUCCCUGUGGUCAACAGUCAAGUAUACUGUCGCAAUUCUUGACCUCAUUAAUCUUCCCACUUGCCCCCACCUCCUGAUGUAGAUCCAUAUUUGUUGUUUUUGCUGAACACACUACAUUGCUCCCCUGGCAAGUGUCUAUGGUAAUAAAAUCUCUUAGCUUUGUGUAUGCAAAAAUCUUUACAUAUCUUUUAAUGAUUUUAUUCUUGCAGGUACUUGAUAGUAAUGCAAGCACACAGCUCAGAGCAGUGAUGGCGAACCUUUAGA
rnacentral:lncRNA from 1 species